GGGACCCGCGUUAUUUCAGAAAAUAUCUUAUUGAUUAAGAGAACAAAAACUUCUACGUUGUGAUCAUUUAAGAGUGGCCUUCUAUUUAUUCAAUGCUAACCAUGUGGGCUUUGUUUUUUUUAUAUACCAUAAAUCGAUUCGUUCAUUCAGAUAUUUGUCAGUUUGCCUUGGCUCUUCAAGUCCAACACACAACUUCUCACGAAAUUGGUAUUUUUCUUACAAAAAUUACAUCCAUGUGAUGUAUUCUUUUCAUGGAGAAUGAAUGUUGCACCUUAUUUUAUUUGUUAUCGUUUUUUUUUUUUUUGUGUGUAUCAUUGACGUAUAAGACAACCUGAAUCUUCUUUAUUCAAAUUUAAAACAUACGAGAUGGCA
rnacentral:lncRNA from 1 species